AACGAACGCUGGCGGCAUGCCUAACACAUGCAAGUCGAACGAGACCUUCGGGUCUAGUGGCGCACGGGUGCGUAACGCGUGGGAACCUGCCCUUAGGUUCGGAAUAACUCCCCGAAAGGGGUGCUAAUACCGGAUAAUGUCUUCGGACUAAAGAUUUAUCGCCUUUGGAUGGGCCCGCGUUGGAUUAGCUAGUUGGUAGGGUAAAAGCCUACCAAGGCGACGAUCCAUAGCUGGUCUGAGAGGAUGAUCAGCCACACUGGGACUGAGACACGGCCCAGACUCCUACGGGAGGCAGCAGUGGGGAAUAUUGGACAAUGGGCGAAAGCCUGAUCCAGCAAUGCCGCGUGAGUGAUGAAGGCCUUAGGGUUGUAAAGCUCUUUUACCCGGGAUGAUAAUGACAGUACCGGGAGAAUAAGCGCCGGCUAACUCCGUG
rnacentral:rRNA from 1 species